GCCAGUCCAGAGAAGGUAAUUUAGAAAAGAGAUGGACCCGGAGAGCAACGAGGGCGGGACAGAGCCGAAGACACUGGAGUGUGCAAGACAGCAUGACAUAUUGAGAGAGUGACCUACGUGACUGCAGCUGAAGUUAUCGUAAAAGUAACAUGACAGAAGUCUACCCACCAUAUCAAGAGCAUGACAGUCAACCACAGAGCCAUUAUGUGGAUCAUUGGGGGCAGCAACAUCUGAUGUGAGCUGAGAGCUACAGAGAACAUGAUCACUGAGCUGUAGUUGUCUGAGGUGGAAGAACUUCCUCCACUUAUUCAUCCAGUCCUGGUGACGACAAGCAGCAACCAAUGUCCUCCUCAUCCACUGCAGUGAGAGUAACCUGAGGUUGUCACAGCAGUGAUGGAGGACCUGCAGCACCUCCACCUGCAGUCUCCUGACAUGAAGAUCAUCUUCUGUGGCACCACAGAGAUGCAGGUUCAGCGCAGGUAUCAAUCUAGGUAAGACUGACAGGCUCACAGGUUUGUGAGCAGUGUUAUCGCUGGAUAUGUUCAUGUUCUCAGUGUACAGACUGCUGCACUCUGCACCAUAUUUGAAGUAUUCUUUUAUAUUAUGGUUUGUCAUGUUUACCAUUUCUACUGUAAUUCAUACUUUUUAGUAAAAAUAAUAUUGCACUGCAGAUUUAACUCCCUCUCUUAAUACUGCACACUCGUGAGUUAAGUAUUUACACUACUGUAAGCUAUACACAUUAUUUAUUUCAGCCUUUUAUUACAUUAAUUUAUACAUCUUUCCAUCUCAUAUUUGUUAAAAUAUAUUUUAAAUGUGCAAUAAAGGUAUUAAUGAA